ACAGAGCAUGGGAAAAGGACAGCCUUUUCAAAAAUAGUGCUUGGUUCCAGGGUGGAUAUCUGUUCGUCCCUUUGCUGCCACCCCCGCGACCCCGGGCUGGUAAAUACGCACAUGAAAAAAUCCUAGUAUCACCAGCCGUUCAGGAAAUGCACAUUUAAAAUAGAAAAUAAACAUCACCAUACGUCUGUUCAUAUGACUAAAAUGAAAAGUCACGAGAAUAUCAAGUACUGACGAGGACAAGCAGCAAGAAGAAUGCUCCCACACUGCUGGCAGCAACACAGAGAAGUGCGGCCACUCUGGAAAAGUCUGCAGCAGUUACUUGUAAAGCUACACAUAACACUCGUAAUAAGGCUCAGCAACUCUAAACUCGGAGCAAUGCAAAGUAAAGGAGGGAGUCAGAAAUUAAAGCUACGGAAAGAAGCCACACCCACCAGAGUGGCUAAAACCAGACAGGCCAACAGGUAAGAACGCAGAGCAAGGAAAGCCAUCACACACCUCCGGUCGGAGCGGGAACGGCCAACACCAUCUGUAAGGCAGUUUGCUGUUAGCUGGGAGAGCGGAAGACAUUCAUACUCUGCGACCCAACAGUUCCAACCCCAAACGUUUAUUUACCCAACAGAAACGCACGCAAAUGUGCACCAGGAUACAGGACAUCCAGAUGUGUAGGAAUCCUGUCACAGCCAAGACGGACAAGCCACACAUCCAUCAACGGGAGGAUGAACAGAAAGGCUGAAAUACACUGACACAGAGAACAGGCUACAGCAAUGAAAAUGAAGCAACUGCAACUACAGGCAACAGGGACUGAUCUCACAAGUUUAACACUGCUUGGAAUUUGUUUCCAAAUGCGUUGGUGGGUAGAUUGACUUAUUGCAGAACUAAAUGCGCAAGACUCCACGUCGAGGACAAACUUGCUCCUACACAGGAUGGAGAAACCCUUGAACGGUCUCUCGCUGAGGUCAUUAUUGACAAGCUGACGCAGCAUCUGUGCUGUAUGUCAGCUUGAGACCUCCAGAAUCACAUUGCCUGCACUCAGACCCCACUUCUGCUGCAUGGAGCCCACGUGACUCAUGCAAAUCCCUUCCUCCCUCCGUGCCUCUGGUUCUUCAUCUGAAAGGACAGGCUACGUCACCUAUGGUACAGGGUUGUCCCGAGGACUUCCUGCUGAGUGUUCAGCAGGCACUGAGAACAGUGCCUGGCACACAGUAAGCGCUCAGUGUUUGCUGCUGCUAUGAUACCAGUGUAUAUGUGCUGUACUGCCCUAUAAAAUAUAUAGUCAUGCAUCUUGAUUCUGGCCAAAAAAUUGUAUCGUCGAUCGGUCACCAGCUUGGAUGAAGACACAGGAAGGCUGUGCAUCACCCCCGCAGAUGGAAGGAACAAACAGAGGCUCGUGGGCAUUGGAGGAGCUGCAGAACUCAGAGGGGCCCCAGGCCAGGAAGGUAAGCCCACGUGCUCCAGCUGCCUCCAUGCCGACUUUCUGAGUAUGAACAGAUGUGGCUGCUGCCUCACAUGUGCCUUCUAGAUCUCAUGAAAACUGCUUCCUAUGGCCCAGGCUACAAGCAGAUUUCCAACCACGCUGACUCAGUAUGAAUCCAUUGCAGUCCGUCCCUUGCCAGCCUAGGAUCUAUACACACACCUCUUUAACCAUACUUACUUCCAAAUAAAGCCUUUGGUAAAAUCAGACUUCUACCUUAUAUAAUGCCUGUCACAGCCAAAAACAUCCUAGCCCUCUCUCCAAAGUCUCCCAAGUCUCUUUUUAGUUCAUUUCUCUUCUAGAGGAGUUGUUCCUGCUUUGAUCAGUAUCCCUUGGAAUGAAGAGUGUGAUCAUGUUCAGACAUAGGCAGGAAAGCUGGUGGAACCCCAAGGAGGAACACUGAGAAACACUGCUGGCCCUGCCAGGCACAGAAAAAAACCAGCUUUCACCAGCAUACCAUUUGCCAGCAAACAUGUGGAUCUGUUACAGCAAGAAAUCACAUCUGGCACAGCAGCUGCAACCAGAGCCACCACCUGGUUAAGUCUAUGAGAGCCCACUGCCAUUCUCCAAGACCCACCUGCCUUUUGCACAGGCCAAGCAGGUGGGCUGGAGAUGUGGGAGGAAUCAUCACCCUUGCAUCUUUCAAGUCCUGAUGAUGGCACUAAUCUCUGCCACCCUGCCAGGAAUGUGAUACUGCUUUUGGUGCACUAUUUUGAUGGGUAGAAGAGUUCUGGUGGCUUCCACUUGGCCUUUCACACUGUAAUAGUUCUCACUCCAGGGAACUGAUGUCAGAAUUCUGCCAAUGUACAUAUGUAUAUUUCAUUACAUUACAGAACUGGAGGGAAAAAAACAAAAAAUAGGUUGUUAUACUUUAUUAAUAACUUAAUAUAUAAUACACAGUAAUAUGUGGUAUUAAGGGCUCCUGGGUGGCUCAGUGGGUUAAGUGUUUGCCUUCAGCUCAGGUUGUGAUCCUGGGUUCCUGGGAUCGAGCCCAUGUCGGGCUCCCUGCUCAGCGAGGAGCCAGUUUCUCCCUCUCCUUCUGCUGCUCUCUCUCUCUGUCAAAUAAAUAAAAUCUUUUUAAAAUCGUG